GCCUCCUUAGCUCAGUUGGUCAGAGCACCUGACUCUUAAUCAGGGUGUCCAAGGUUCGAAUCCUUGAGGGGGUA
rnacentral:tRNA from 1 species